GCCCGAUAACCCUAAUGCCGUGAGCGAGUGUCUGGUUCUGCCAUGGUCGGACCUUGUCGCGAGCAAUUUUUGUUCGAGCGUCGCCUUGGCCGCAAGAAUAACUCGAUCCCCAACCUUCAUGUACUCUGAGGAAGCCAGGCGUUGCGAUUCCUCCUGAACCACAAGUUGGUAGAUCCGCCGAGCAAGGGGACCGGCUCCAUGGCAAGGAUUUGGCUGUGGAAAGGUUUUGCAUUGGUGGUGUUGCUGAACAAGGAAGAUGAAAAAAAAGAUGAAAAGAAGGUGUUUUAGCAUAAGCUAGAUGAAUGUGGAAGGCUCUGAUACCAUGUCAGAGAAUUAGGUGAUGGAAAGCUACCCAGGAAUGGGGAAAAAUUGUAUUGCUUUUCAUACUUCUAUCAUGUAAUUAUAGUCCUAUUUAUAGUACAUGAGGUCUAGAUGAUUAGGGAA